UCGAACGCGAAAGUCCCGCAAGGGAUCGGUAGAGUGGCAAACGGGUGAGUAACACGUGGGUGACCUGCCUUCGAGUGGGGGAUAACGUCCCGAAAGGGACGCUAAUACCGCAUGGCAUCCUGCCGUUGAAGAAGCGGAGAUCAAAGCUGGGGAUCGCAAGACCUAGCGCUUGAAGAGGGGCCCGCGUCCGAUUAGCUAGUUGGUGGGGUAACGGCUCACCAAGGCAACGAUCGGUAGCCGGCCUGAGAGGGCGGACGGCCACACUGGGACUGAGACACGGCCCAGACUCCUACGGGAGGCAGCAGUGGGGAAUUGUUCGCAAUGGGCGCAAGCCUGACGACGCAACGCCGCGUGGAGGAUGAAGAUCUUCGGGUCGUAAACUCCUUUCGAUCGAGACGAACGGCUUCCGGAUGAACAAUCCGGGAGAGUGACGGUACCGAGAGAAGAAGCCCCGGCUAACUCCGUGCCAGCAGCCGCGGUAAUACGGGGGGGGCAAGCGUUGUUCGGAAUUACUGGGCGUAAAGGGCUCGUAGGCGGCCAACUAAGUCGGACGUGAAAUCCCUCGGCUUAACCGGGGAACUGCGUCCGAUACUGGAUGGCUUGAGUGUGGGAGAGGGAUGCGGAAUUCCAGGUGUAGCGGUGAAAUGCGUAGAUAUCUGGAGGAACACCGGUGGCGAGGGCGGCAUCCUGGACCACGACUGACGCUGAGGAGCGAAAGCCAGGGGAGCAAACGGGAUUAGAUACCCCGGUAGUCCUGGCCCUAAACGAUGA
rnacentral:rRNA from 1 species